rnacentral:lncRNA from 1 species
UAAACACCCAUAACCAAGAUUUGGCAGACACCAAUCAUGGACAGCAAAUAUGUGUUGCUGAUCUUGGUGAUUUCAAGCAGCCAGCUGCCACGGACAGAUUCCCUGGAAUGUUAUAGCUGUGUAGAUGCAGGCGAUAUAAAUGACUGUGGAAACACUACACUGUGCCAGCUGGGUCAGGUAAAUUCUCGUUCCUAACUCCAACACAAUAAAAAGAAAACAUUUUACAAUUUAUUGACAUGUGUUACAUAAAACACUUCCAAAGAGUUUUCAUUGUUUUCUUAAAGGAUAAACAUCGCUAUAUGCCCAUAUUUAAAACUUAACAAAAUGACAUUUUCGUAUGACAUUGAGCUAUUUAUCGAUGUUAAAGGCACUUGCCUCCAGAUCAUCCGACAACAGAAAAACAAUUUUUAGAUAUCUGGAAAUUAAUGCUAUAUUUCUUAAGAAUGCUUUGAAACGUAAGUACUGACAGACUAUAUGUUACGGAAACACAUGAUAAUUAAUUGUUUUUACUACUUUUUACGACGAAAAUCGAAAAGCGUUUGUAACGUUUUACUCUGGAUAAAAUGCUUCGAUUAUAAGUAUCUAUAUUGUAGGGGUAAUACAUGUUUUUUGUGCAUUAACGUCUGCAGAAACCCGCGGAAUUGUUUGUGACCGAGACCGAAGUAGUAACUUUACAUUCGAGUUAUGUUGAGUAAGGAUACAUUUGGAGUACGGAGGAGUACGGACGUAGUGUCAAGCUUUCAAGCUGUUUUAUUUUUUAAUUCUUCCAGACAUUAGAUAAAAACAUACCAAUCGAUACUUACCAAAAUCAUAAAUAUGAUUCCUAAAAACAAACAAACCUACAAGUUACACAGCGAUUCUUAAACAUUCACGGUUGUCUACAAAAACUAAAACGACGCUGAAUUUUAAAAGGGGAGUAAACAAGGGAAGAAGCGAGUACGAACAUUGUUUGGGGCAGCGCAUUUGGCGUUGGUACCUGAUACAGCAAAA